UAUUCCUUUAAAACAGUCCUGUGAGGCUGGCAAGGAGCAUGUUCUGAAUAAAAAAGUGCACAGUUAUGUCUAGUUGUGUGCCUAUUUGCUGAAUCUCCUUGUUAACAGGGAGAUUUUUUAGUU
rfam:Streptococcus equi subsp. zooepidemicus H70, complete genome